UCCGAAGGGGGCUAGCGUUGCUCGGAAUUACUGGGCGUAAAGGGCGUGUAGGCGGUCCGUCUAGUCGGAUGUGAAAGGCCCGGGCUCAACCCGGGAACGGCAUUCGAUACUGGCGGACUUGAGUCCGGGAGAGGAUAGUGGAACUCCCAGUGUAGAGGUGAAAUUCGUAGAUAUUGGGAAGAACACCAGUGGCGAAGGCGGCUAUCUGGACCGGUACUGACGCUAAGGCGCGACAGCGUGGGGAGCAAACAGG
rnacentral:rRNA from 1 species